GGAAUAUUGGGCAAUGGAGGCAACUCUGACCCAGCAACGCCGCGUGAGUGAUGAAGGUCUUCGGAUUGUAAAACUCUUUAAGUGGGGACGAAGAAAGUGACUGUACCCACAGAAUAAGCCUCGGCUAACUACGUGCCAGCAGCCGCGGUAAUACGUAGGAGGCAAGCGUUAUCCGGAUUUAUUGGGUUUAAAGGGUGCGUAGGCGGAUUCUUAAGUCAGCGGUAAAAUGUCCGGGCUCAACCCGGGCCGGCCGUUGAAUCUGGGGGUCUUGAGUGGGCGAGAAGUAUGCGGAAUGCGUGGUGUAGCGGUGAAAUGCAUAGAUAUCACGCAGAACUCCGAUUGCGAAGGCAGCAUACCGGCGCCCUACUGACGCUGAGGCACGAAAGCGUGGGGAUCGAACAG
rnacentral:rRNA from 1 species